CCACAGAGGAAAGUUAAAACAAGUACCUAAAUACAUCCUAUCUAGUUCAAAAAUGAAUUCUAAAAUCGCUGUGAUACUGGCUGUUUUAGUAUUGCUUGCUUAUUCAGGCAAAACAGAUUCAGUAGAUAAUGGACCCAAAGAAGAUGAACCCCAGCCAUCUAUUAUAGAAGACGAUGUUGUUAUUCCUUCGCCAAGUAAAUCUGCAAAGAGUUUUUGCAUUGGGAAACUAUGUGUAGAUGUUGACGUGCAUUUUAAUGUUUAAUAAAAUAUGUAAAUCAGUGCUUAAGUGGAGUUUAGUUUAUUUGAAAGAGAG